CGGGGUGCAGCAGGCGCGAAACCUCUGCAAUAGGCGAAAGCCUGACAGGGUUACUGUGAGUGAUUCCCGCUAAGGGGAUCUUUUGGCACCUCUAAAAAUGGUGCAGAAUAAGGGGUGGGCAAGCCUGGUGUCAGCCGCCGCGGUAAUACCAGCACCCCGAGUGGUCGGGACGAUUAUUGGGCCUAAAGCAUCCGUAGCCGGCCACGCAAGUCCUCCGUUAAAUCCACCCGCUCAACGGUUGGGCUGCGGAGGAUACUACGUGGCUAGGAGGCGGGAGAGGCAAGCGGUACUCAAUGGGUAGGGGUAAAAUCCUUUGAUCCAUUGAAGACCACCAGUGGCGAAGGCGGCUUGCCAGAACGCGCUCGACGGUGAGGGAUGAAAGCUGGGGGAGCAAACCGGAUUAGAUACCCGGGUAGUCCCAGCUGUAAACGAUGCAGACUCGGUGAUGGGAUGGCCUCGAGCCAUCCCAGUGCCGCAGGGAAGCCGUUAAGUCUGCCGCCUGGGGAGUACGGUCGCAAGACUGAAACUUAAAGGAAUUGGCGGGGGAGC
rnacentral:rRNA from 1 species